GGCAAGAUGGCCGAGUGGUCUAAGGCGACACGUUUAGGCGAGCCAAUGAAAUCUCUGUUUGUUUCAAGGCAGUCACCGUGUUCCGAAAGGGCGUGGGUUCGAAUCCCACUCUUGUCA
rnacentral:tRNA from 1 species